CCUACGGGCGGCAGCAGUGAGGAAUAUUGGUCAAUGGGCGGAAGCCUGAACCAGCCAAGUAGCGUGCGGGAUGAAGGCCCUAAGGGUCGUAAACCGCUUUUGCACGGGGAUAACACCCUCCACUUGUGGAGGUCUGCAGGUACCGUGCGAAUAAGGACCGGCUAAUUCCGUGCCAGCAGCCGCGGUAAUACGGAGGACCCGAGCGUUAUCCGGAUUUAUUGGGUUUAAAGGGUGCGUAGGCGGGCUGUCAAGUCAGCUGUAAAAUCGCGCGGCUCAACCGCGCCCCGCAGUUGAAACUGGACGCCUUGAGUUCACAACAGGCAGGCGGAAUUCGUGGUGUAGCGGUGAAAGGCAUAGAUAUCACGAGGAACCCCGAUUGCGAAGGCAGCCUACCGGGGGGCGACUGACGCUGAGGCUCGAAGGUGCGGGUAUCAAACAGGAUUAGAUACCCUUGUAGUC
rnacentral:rRNA from 1 species